CCACCACCAAAGCAUUCUCUGGUGUUGAAGGCCCUGCAAAGCAGCAUCGCGGUGGCGGAGCGUCGUUUGCGACGCCCAACACACAAAACAAGCGGUGAGUGCUUUGGGGUGGGGUGACUGCGUACCUUUUGUAUAAUGGGUCAGCGACUUAUAUUCUGUAGCAAGGUUAACCGUAUAGGGGAGCCGAAGGGAAACCGAGUCUUAACUGGGCGUUAAGUUGCAGGGUAUAGACCCGAAACCCGGUGAUCUAGCCAUGGGCAGGUUGAAGGUUGGGUAACACUAACUGGAGGACCGAACCGACUAAUGUUGAAAAAUUAGCGGAUGACCUGUGGCUGGGGGUGAAAGGCCAAUCAAACCGGGAGAUAGCUGGUUCUCCCCGAAAGCUAUUUAGGUAGCGCCUCGUGAACUCAUCUUCGGGGGUAGAGCACUGUUUCGGCUAGGGGGUCAUCCCGACUUACCAACCCGAUGCAAACUGCGAAUACCGAAGAAUGUUAUCACGGGAGACACACGGCGGGUGCUAACGUCCGUCGUGAAGAGGGAAACAACCCAGACCGCCAGCUAAGGUCCCAAAGUCACAGUUAAGUGGGAAACGAUGUGGGAAGGCUCAGACAGCCAGGAUGUUGGCUUAGAAGCAGCCAUCAUUUAAAGAAAGCGUAAUAGCUCACUGGUCGAGUCGGCCUGCGCGGAAGAUGUAACGGGGCUAAACUGUGCACCGAAGCUGCGGCAGCGACGCUUAUGCGUUGUUGGGUAGGGGAGCGUUCUGUAAGCCUGCGAAGGUGUCCUGUGAGGGAUGCUGGAGGUAUCAGAAGUGCGAAUGCUGACAUAAGUAACGAUAA
rnacentral:rRNA from 1 species